rnacentral:rRNA from 1 species
GGAAUCUUCGGAUUCUAGUGGCGGACGGGUGAGUAACGCGUAAGAAUCUAACUUCAGGACGGGGACAACAGUUGGAAACGACUGCUAAUACCCGAUGUGCCGCGAGGUGAAACCUAAUUGGCCUGAAGAAGAGCUUGCGUCUGAUUAGCUAGUUGGUGGGGUAAGAGCCUACCAAGGCGACGAUCAGUAGCUGGUCUGAGAGGAUGAGCAGCCACACUGGGACUGAGACACGGCCCAGACUCCUACGGGAGGCAGCAGUGGGGAAUUUUCCGCAAUGGGCGAAAGCCUGACGGAGCAACGCCGCGUGAGGGAGGAAGGUCUUUGGAUUGUAAACCUCUUUUCUCAAGGAAGAAGUUCUGACGGUACUUGAGGAAUCAGCCUCGGCUAACUCCGUGCCAGCAGCCGCGGUAAUACGGGGGAGGCAAGCGUUAUCCGGAAUUAUUGGGCGUAAAGCGUCCGCAGGUGGUCAGCCAAGUCUGCUGUCAAAUCAGGUUGCUUAACGACCUAAAGGCGGUGGAAACUGGCAGACUAGAGAGCAGUAGGGGUAGCAGGAAUUCCCAGUGUAGCGGUGAAAUGCGUAGAGAUUGGGAAGAACAUCGGUGGCGAAAGCGUGCUACUGGGCUGUAUCUGACACUCAGGGACGAAAGCUAGGGGAGCGAAAGGGAUUAGAUACCCCUGUAGUCCUAGCCGUAAACGAUGGAUACUAGGCGUGGCUUGUAUCGACCCGAGCCGUGCCGAAGCUAACGCGUUAAGUAUCCCGCCUGGGGAGUACGCACGCAAGUGUGAAACUCAAAGGAAUUGACGGGGGCCCGCACAAGCGGUGGNNUAUGUGGUUUAAUUCGAUGCAACGCGAAGAANNUUACCAAGACUUGACAUGUCGCGAACCCU